rnacentral:tRNA from 1 species
UGGGGUGUGGCUCAGUGGUAGAGCAGCUGCCUAGAAUAUGUAAGGCCUGGGUUUCAUCCCUAGUACUUCAG